AGAGUUUGAUUCGGGCUCAGAAUCAACGCUGGCGGCGUGCCUAACACAUGCAAGUCGCACGAGAAAGGGACUUCGGUCUUGAGUAAAGUGGCGCACGGGUGAGUAACACGUGAAUUAUCUACCUCCGAGUGGGGAAUAACUGAGAGAAAUCUUAGCUAAUACCGCAUAACACUUACGAGUCAAAGCAGCAAUGCGCUUGGAGAGGAGUUCGCGGCCGAUUAGUUAGUUGGCGGGGUAAUGGCCCACCAAGACGAUGAUCGGUAUCCGGCCUGAGAGGGCGCACGGACACACUGGAACUGAAACACGGUCCAGACUCCUACGGGAGGCAGCAGUGGGGAAUUUUGCGCAAUGGGGGAAACCCUGACGCAGCAACGCCGCGUGGAGGAUGAAAUAUCUUGGUAUGUAAACUCCUUUCGAUGGGGAAGAUAAUGACGGUACCCAUAGAAGAAGCCCCGGCUAACUUCGUGCCAGCAGCCGCGGUAAUACGAGGGGGGCAAGCGUUGUUCGGAUUUAUUGGGCGUAAAGGGUGCGUAGGCGGUUUGGCAAGUCUUAUGUGAAAUCUAUGGGCUCAACCCAUAGUCUGCAUAAGAAACUGCCGGGCUUGAGUAUUGGAGAGGUGAGUGGAAUUUCCGGUGUAGCGGUGAAAUGCGUAGAUAUCGGAAGGAACACCUGUGGCGAAAGCGGCUCACUGGACAAUAACUGACGCUGAUGCACGAAAGCUAGGGGAGCAAACAGGAUUAGAUACCCUGGUAGUCCUAGCCCUAAACGAUGAUUGCUUGGUGUGGCAGGUACCCAAUCCUGCCGUGCCGAAGCUAACGCGAUAAGCAAUCCGCCUGGGGAGUACGGUCGCAAGGCUGAAACUCAAAAGGAUUUGACGGGGGCCCGCACAAGCGGUGGGAGCAUGUGGUUUAAUUCGACGCACGCGAAGAACCUUACCUGGGCUCGAAAUGUAGAAG
rnacentral:rRNA from 1 species